GAUGAAGAACGUAGCGAAAUGCGAUAAGUAGUGUGAAUUGCAGAAUUCAGUGAAUCAUCGAAUCUUUGAACGCACAUUGCGCCCUUUGGUAUUCCAAAGGGCAUGCCUGUUCGAGCGUCAUUUGUACCCUCAAGCUUUGCUUGGUGUUGGGCGUCUUGUCUCUAGCUUUGCUGGAGACUCGCCUUAAAGUAAUUGGCAGCCGGCCUACUGGUUUCGGAGCGCAGCACAAGUCGCACUCUCUAUCAGCAAGGUCUAGCAUCCAUUAAGCCUUUUUUUCAACUUUUGACCUCGGAUCAGGUAGGGAUACCCGCUGAACUUAAGCAUAUCAAUAAGCGGAGGA
rnacentral:misc_RNA from 1 species